UUGGUGAGGUAAAGGCUUACCAAGGCUUCGAUCAGUAGCUGGUCUGAGAGGACGACCAGCCACACUGGGACUGAGACACGGCCCAGACUCCUACGGGAGGCAGCAGUGGGGAAUUUUGGACAAUGGGGGAAACCCUGAUCCAGCCAUGCCGCGUGAGUGAAGAAGGCCUUCGGGUUGUAAAGCUCUUUCAGCCGGAACGAAACGGUCACGGUUAAUAACUGUGAUCACUGACGGUACCGGAAGAAGAAGCACCGGCUAACUACGUGCCAGCAGCCGCGGUAAUACGUAGGGUGCGAGCGUUAAUCGGAAUUACUGGGCGUAAAGCGUGCGCAGGCGGUUUUGUAAGUCAGAUGUGAAAUCCCCGGGCUUAACCUGGGAACUGCGUUUGAAACUACCAAGGCUA
rnacentral:rRNA from 1 species